AGUGAACGCUGGCGGUAGGCCUAACACAUGCAAGUCGAACGGCAGCACAGGAGAGCUUGCUCUCUGGGUGGCGAGUGGCGGACGGGUGAGGAAUACAUCGGAAUCUACUCUGUCGUGGGGGAUAACGUAGGGAAACUUACGCUAAUACCGCAUACGACCUACGGGUGAAAGCAGGGGACCUUCGGGCCUUGCGCGAUUGAAUGAGCCGAUGUCGGAUUAGCUAGUUGGCGGGGUAAAGGCCCACCAAGGCGACGAUCCGUAGCUGGUCUGAGAGGAUGAUCAGCCACACUGGAACUGAGACACGGUCCAGGCUCCUACGGGAGGCAGCAGUGGGGAAUAUUGGACAAUGGGCGCAAGACUGAUCCAGCCAUACCGCGUGGGUGAAGAAGGCCUUCGGGUUGUAAAGCCCUUUUGUUGGGAAAGAAAUCCAGCUGGCUAAUACCCGGUUGGGAUGACGGUACCCAAAGAAUAAGCACCGGCUAACUUCGUGCCAGCCGCCGCUGUAA
rnacentral:rRNA from 1 species